UACGUAGGUGGCAAGCGUUGUCCGGAAUUAUUGGGCAUAAAGCGCGCGCAGGUGGUUCUUUAAGUCUGAUGUGAAAGCCCACGGCUCAACCGUGGAGGGUCAUUGGAAACUGGGGGACUUGAGUACAGAAGAGGGAAGCGGAAUUCCACGUGUAGCGGUGAAAUGCGUAGAGAUGUGGAGGAACACCAGUGGCGAAGGCGACUUUCUGGUCUGUAACUGACGCUGAGGUACGAAAGUGUGGGGAGCAAACAGG
rnacentral:misc_RNA from 1 species